rnacentral:rRNA from 1 species
UAACUGAAGAGUUUGAUCAUGGCUCAGAUUGAACGCUGGCGGCAGGCUUAACACAUGCAAGUCGAGCGGGGGAAGGUAGCUUGCUACUGGACCUAGCGGCGGACGGGUGAGUAAUGCUUAGGAAUCUGCCUAUUAGUGGGGGACAACAUCUCGAAAGGGAUGCUAAUACCGCAUACGUCCUACGGGAGAAAGCAGGGGAUCUUCGGACCUUGCGCUAAUAGAUGAGCCUAAGU